UACGAAGGGGGGCUAGCGUUGCUCGGAAUCACUGGGCGUAAAGCGCACGUAGGCGGAUUGCUAAGUCAGGGGUGAAAUCCCGGGGCUCAACCCCGGAACUGCCUUUGAUACUGGGUGUCUAGAGUAUGGAAGAGGUGAGUGGAAUUCCGAGUGUAGGGGUGAAAUUCGUAGAUAUUCGGAGGAACACCAGUGGCGAAGGCGGCUCACUGGUCCAUUACUGACGCUGAGGUGCGAAAGCGUGGGGAGCAAACAGG
rnacentral:rRNA from 1 species